rnacentral:rRNA from 1 species
UACGUAGGGCGCAAGCGUUGUCCGGAAUUAUUGGGCGUAAAGAGCUCGUAGGCGGUUCGUCGCGUCGGCUGUGAAAUCCCGAGGCUCAACCUCGGGUCUGCAGUCGAUACGGGCGGACUGGAGUUCGGCAGGGGAGACUGGAAUUCCUGGUGUAGCGGUGAAAUGCGUAGAUAUCAGGAGGAACACCUGUGGUGUAGACGGCUUACUGGACCAUGACUGACGCUGAGGCACGAAAGCGUGGGGAGCAAACAGG